UUUAGAGAGAGAGCCAUUGUUCUCAUGACUCAGGGGCCUCCGUGCCAGGCCAGCAGCCAGUCUGGCCCUGGCAGCUCCAGCCGCCCACCUGUGCUGGCCAGAGGCUGAAGGUGCUUGAGCACUGUCAGUCAUCCUGGGUGAGCAGCAAGUGGACACCCACUGGAAGAUCGGCCUCCACCCCCCGCACUUCUGAUGGGAAAACCAGCUCCAGGGAAGCAUCUGGCCUCAGCCCUGGGCCUCGGUGCCCAGAGCACAUGACUCACUUCCUUCCUGGGACUCACAGCCCUGGGGCAGUGCUGGCUCCUGCAGCACCCGCCAUCGUGUGUCAGGAGGUGUGUGCUCAGGGGCUGCUGGGCAGCUCUGACCGCUCACAGUCUCCCCAUGGCUCCUAAGGGGACCCAGCAGUGACCCAGCAGAUUCUGCUGUGCAGAGAACACUUGGAGACAGCAGUGGAGUAAAGGAAAGAAAAAGAAUUCACCUGGCGACAGGUAGCAGGUACAUUUCUCCCUGGCCCUUCAUGCACCAGCGUUGGAUGUUUUUGAGUAGCUGACGUAGUGACUACCUUAGCAUGGACAGACGGCCCUGGACAGAUGGCUCCUGCUUCUCUGAACAUACUUCAUUCACCUGCCUUGGUCCAUCACCUGAGACAGGUCCAAAUCAAAGCUUCCAGAAGCCGAUAAACCCAGGCUCCCACAUACUAAGGGAAAGGCAGAGAUGGAGUUUCCACCAGAAGUCUGACGGCAGAGCACAAGGUCUCCUCAUCUAGGUAAAAGUACACGCUUUCUACCUAACCUCUCACAGAGGAUCCCCUCUCGGACGAGAAGUUGUGGGUAAACACCACCUUUAACACCUUUCCACUCUUCACUGAGUGACAGGACCACCUAGACCCAGCCCGCUCUCCAGUGCAGGACAUCUUAGUUAUUUCUAAUUUCUCACCAUUAUAAACGUGCCACAGCGAAAUGUGCUGGUUACAAAUGUGAUCUUGGUUGGUUCCCUGGGGCAAUCCCUUAGAGGUGGAAUUGUUAGGUCAGAGGUCCCACUCUGCCAAGCCCUGUGGGAGCGCCUGAUUUCACCUGGCUGAGCAGCCCAGCUGCAAACCAGCCCCUCGGGGCAGAGAGGAAAAAGGCACUUCAGAGGACCCACCUGGCCUGGCAUGGAGAACUGUUACCGUGUCCAACACACAGGUGGCCAGGUAUGGUGUUGCCACCUACUAUACCUCUGUCCCAUUUGUGGGUGAGUCUCAGAGAGGCAAUGUCGCUUACCCAAGGUCACACAGUCAGAGCCAGAACCCACAAAACAGCAUCUCACACAGUGUUGGCAAAGCACCUGACACUGAUUCUUUGGAGGUUCCAGUUGACUUGGGUCCAUGAGUGUCAGCAGACUUUCUGCAGCAUCUUGGGGGGAGAUUUUCACUCCCUGCCAGAUUAUCACCACCUGCCUGGACGGAUGCAGUAGUCUCUCCAACAACUCUCCUGUGUCCACCCUUGCUCUGUUCUCCAAUGAGCAAGUGGAGUGAUCUUGAAGUCCCCCUGCGUGCUGCUCAACUGCCCUACCCUCUGGGGACUUCCCUGUCUGGGUGUGAACUAACUCAUGCCAAAAUGGUUGCAGCCCAGAAGGGUGGGAUUCUGCACCCCCACCAUGCCAGGCACAGGGUAGGUGGGACUAGUUCACCGUUCAUAGAACGAAAACCAGACACCUUGGUCUGCUUUCUGUGUCCCCUGCCUGGUCCCCUCCUUACUUGCCCUGCUACCCACUGAGCUCUAGCCCUUGGCCUCUCUGUCACUCAGAAUAUUCAACAUAGACUAUUCUUCAAUCUAGAAUAUUCU
rnacentral:lncRNA from 1 species